GUUUUCGUCAGUCGAUUUACAUGGUUUUUUUUUUUUUUUGUUGGUUGAAUUUCUCAGGUUUUAAUUUGCUUUAACGGAAUAAUAGUAUAGAAUAUUUUUCAGGAUUAAGCUCAUCGUGAUGGCUGAUGAACAAUUGUUGCCAACUUGUAUGAGUUGAUCCUCAAUAUGAUAGUGUCUGUCAAAGAGAUCUAUUUUAUGGCUAUGCUUUGGUAAUUUGGUUAAUGAAAAACUAAUGUAUCCCACAUCGAAGCGAUACAAAAAAGCAGCCAUGACAAAAGAUAUAAAUAAUGAGCGCCAAGCAACUGA
rnacentral:lncRNA from 1 species